rnacentral:rRNA from 1 species
AAGUCGAGGGGCAUCAGGAAGAAAGCUUGCUUUCUUUGCUGGCGACCGGCGCACGGGUGAGUAACGCGUAUGCAACCUGCCCUUCACUGGGGGAUAACCGGGAGAAAUUCCGACUAAUACCGCAUAUGAUGCCUGAACGAAUGUUCGGGUUUUGAAAGAUUUAUCGGUGAAGGAUGGGCAUGCGUGAUAUUAGGUAGUUGGCGGGGUAACGGCCCACCAAGCCGACGAUAUCUAGGGGUUCUGAGAGGAAGGUCCCCACAUUGGAACUGAGACACGGUCCAAACUCC